rnacentral:lncRNA from 1 species
CUUUCUGUCUGGGCUUCUGUCACCCAGCUUGUACUCAGCCUUUUCAGAAGGAAGAGAACGGGCAUUUGUGGAGCGUUUUCUGGGUGCCAGAUCCCGAUGGAAGAAGUGGACAACACAGUGACACUCAUCAUCCUGGCUGUCGUGGGCGGGGUCAUCGGGCUCCUCAUCCUCAUCCUGCUGAUCAAGAAACUCAUCAUCUUCAUCCUGAAGAAGACUCGGGAGAAGAAGAAGGAGUGUCUCGUGAGCUCCUCGGGGAAUGACAACACGGAGAACGGCUUGCCUGGCUCCAAGGCAGAGGAGAAACCACCUUCAAAAGUGUGAGCCCUGCUUCGGGCUGAGCAGCUGCAGGGAGCCCCCUUUCUGAUGAUGAAACUGAUGCUUGAGCCCCGACCGUAGAACCCACGUGCCUGAGACAUCUGCUGCUUGGCUCAAACUGUAGUCUUUCCGGGCACAAGAAACCAGAGUCCUGCCCAGCCUGCCCAUCCCCUUCCCAGUCAGGGCUCCCCAGGGACAAGGGAUGGCCAGGGGAGGGGGUCUGUGGAAGAUUCAGGAGAAAGAAAGGAGAGGCUAGGGUGGUGUGGAGGGGCUGGUCCCCUGACACCUGGGCAGAUGGGGUCUCCUUCAGUCUCCCUACCCUGCACAAGCAGGGCCUUGAUUUUCCUCCAGGCUUCUCUUCACAAGAGACUGGGAGGAUCCGUAAGGGAUGUCCUAAGAGCUGCACCCUGGAGAUGGGGUGUAGGAAGAAGUGGCUUCCUUUGGAGGUGGGAGUGGGCUGGAGGCCUCUGGAGAAGACCUGGGGUGGGGGCUGAUGGGGGCAGGCCCACAGUGAGAGACUGCCUCUGCUUCAUAGGAUACCAGAUCCCCCACAGUCUUCCAAGUAGGAAACUUCCUUUCCCCUGCCCCGGGACCCUAUCUGCCUAUCCCCUCCCCUGCUCAGAGUUUUUAAGCCCUCUCAACCAGGGCUGGCCACCCUGGUCUUGAGGGUUCCUGGCCACCUAGCCUGCUCCUCUGCUCUCUGGGUUACUGAGGGGCUCAGGAAGGGGCCCCUCGAGCCUUCCUGGAGUACCCGAGUGCUCCCUAUGCCUUUCCAAGCAUUUCUACUUGGGGAAUUGGGCCACAGAGGUAGUGAGCCAGUGUCCUGGGCCUCUGGGAUGCCCGCCCCAUUGCUGCCAAUGCUGGCAGCCCCUCCCCUGGCAUGGCAGGACCAUCGCCACUCUGGGCACUCCUGAGCCCAGCUCUCCCCUGCUUCUCCCCCUCCUACCUGAGAGGCUGCACCCUCCAACCUCCCAUUGGCUCGCUCCCCCCCCCCCACCGUGCCCUCCAUCACGCCCUGCCCCCAGGGUGGUUCAUUUCCCAGCCCUGGGUCAAGGGCCUGCCUUCGCCUCAGGGACUCUCUUCCUUUGGAUGAGGGGGUCCUUGGGUUUCCCAGCUGCUUCCUGCUCAGCUGGGCCACCCCCUCCCACCCUGGGGUUGGGGAGGAGCAGGGAGUGGGUGCCCACAGUUUUCCUUUGCUUCUCCCAGAGCUGGUUUGCACAGCCCUUGUGUGUGGGGCUAGAAUGUGCCUUAGUCCUGAAUCCUAGCCCUUACCCCCAUCCUCUCUAGACGGUAUGUCCUGACAUAACAGCAGAGUCUGGUGUGGUGCUGGUGAGGGUUCGCCAGCCCUCCCCUCCCCAGGGUCAUAGAGGGGGCCAUGAGGCUGGAAUUGGCCAGUGACUGAAUCUUGGAGAUGUCGGCCAGGUGCUCCCAUUGGGGUUUCUAGCCUGCCCUAGGGGGAGGUGGUGAUGUUGGGAGUGGGAUCUCCUGAGUCCUUGUUGGGCAGAAUUGGUGAGGCCAGGGAUGGCAGGGAAAAGUGGUAACAAGCCUCUCUGCCCAUCUACUUCCAAUCCCUCUCUCCCUUACUGAUUUUUUGAUGCCCUGUCUUCUGGGCCCCUAGGAGGGAUGAGAGAGGAGUAGCCCCCUUUUUCAGAGAGUUUGGGGUCUACCUCAGAGCUCUCCCUGUCAAAAAGCAGCUGCAAGCCUCGCAAGGGUGGAGUGGGGGGAGACUGAGGACCAGUAGUACCUGCAGGGUGCCCGUGGCUGUGGCCAGUGUCCCUUAGCCAACCUGCUGGGCUCACCAGUUCCCCGUCUGAUCUGCCUGUGCGCCUCCCAUUCUUCUCUACCCAGAACCUGUCAUGGGCUGGGGCUCAGAUUUUCCUGGCUUUGGGAGCAGACAGACCAGAGCCACCAGCCAUUCAGAAAACUUCUUAUAGCUACCUUCAUGCAAAACUGUUUUCUUCUUCCUUCUCAAUGGUGACAUUUGAAGAGGCAGAGCACCUUGGGGCUCCUCCUUCUGUCUUAAGAGAAAGCCAAGGCACGUAGAGUAGGGAGAAGAAGGGCACCAUCCUCUCUUUCCUCCCCAGGGUCUACUGCUGAUUUCUAGAUGGAUCAUGCAGCUUCUCUCAGCUCAGCUCUUUCCAUCUACCAAAUGGGUGUAAUAAUACUUACCUACCUCACAGGACUGUUGUGAGGCUUGGCAAGUUUUGUCUAAAAACAUCUUUUUGGCUUGGAAAGGGAUCUGGGAAGCCAGGUAUUAAUUGCAGGGAUAGUUCCAAGUCUGUCCUGUCUUCAUCUCUGUGUCCCAUCUCUACAACCCACAUACAGACACACACACUCUCUCUCUCUUUCUUUCCAUCCCACCCCCCUUGGAAUUAUUUAGUCUUUGCAAUAUUAGAAACCUUGACUCUGAUGCUUAAAGCUUCUUGUCCAUGGCUUUUGUUUGAUGGUUUUCAAUAGAGGUGACUGAGAUUGUAGGGGGGGCAUUUUUGGUUGCCCCCAUGCGUGGGGGCACUACUAAGAAUGCUAAACUUAGUCCCCACAACAAAGAAUCAUCCUGUCCCAUGUCAACAUUAUACCCAUGGAGAAACACUGGCAUGGAUUUGCACUAGGAUGUAUAUGGGCAAAGCUAUCUUCCCCAAGUGGAACCUCAGUGCAUGCAAAUCUCUGAUGGUGGCUUCCAGGGCUUGUGGGCUAGAGAGAGCCACUUACAAAGUCGAUCUUGAGAGACCUGGCCACAUGCAGCUGGGCUGAGUGAUGUCAGCGAGACUAAAGACAAAGUUCUGAGCUCCUCAUCAACUACAAAAUAUGAAAUCAGCAUUCCAGGUUCUGGGCUUCUCCCCAUGUCGUAAUUGAACAGAAGGCAGCCCGAAUAAACCCCUGAUGUUAGAGAGGCCUGGGGAGAGCAGCCGAUGGGGCUCAGACUACAUAUGGCAGGCCGAUCAGAGCUCUUGUGGAGCGAGGGCUUGAGAGCAUGCUUGUGAGAUGGCAGGAGGUGGGGUGUGCUUGUGUGGAGUGUGCGUGUGCAGGCAGUGUGGGUGCAUGGCAGCGUAACUGUGGAGUGGAUGGGCUCUGCAUGUAAGGGGUGAUGCAUGAUGGGCAGAUGCUGGACAUUUGAGGAGCCGUCUUUCUUGGCCUGAGCUAUGCCUGUUGAGGCAUCUGGAGACUGAGAAAGAAUCAAAGGCAGAGAAGACCAGCCGUGCUCCUGCAUUCCGUCACUCCAUGACUUCAUCUCAGUGUCACAGACAGCUGCCAUCAGAGGGCUGGCAGUAGGGAGUUCCAGGAGCGGGGACUUCUCGGGAAAAUCCUAUAACUUGCUUUACUUUACUUUGUCCCAGGUUGGAGUCCCUACCCUCCCACCUCCCACCUGAUAUGCAGUGCUUUUGACUAUCUUAUGCAUGGUUUAUUCCUCUGGCUUGGAUGACAACAAUACCCAUAGUCAAUUUUCCUAUGUAACUAUAGAUCAAAUGAUGCAACAACAGGCCUUGGGAGGCCUCAGGUGUGCGAGUGCCUCUGGGAGGCGCAGAUGCCCACACAGCCAGCACUGACUUGUGUUCGAGCACAGAACGGAUAUAAUCAGUCUGGCCUCUACAACAAGUUUUGCAUUGUAGAAUUGUAUUUAGCUUUGCCUUGGAUGAAAUAAAAAUUAUGUUUAAU